rfam:Cavia porcellus supercont2_30 genomic scaffold, whole genome shotgun sequence.
UGGUGCCCCAAUGUGGGGCCCGAGAACAGGGGAACUAGUGAAGGAUGCUGUUUGAGAAGCUGGCACAAAAACAGAACAGAGAAAAUUCCAAGAACAGAGGAAAAGACUAUGCAGGAAACUGCUGCAGUCUCUAAACCUCGGUAAGUGAACACCAGUUAUGGGGCAACAAAUGAGCCAACAUGAGAUUUUUGUUGAAAGUUUAGGAAAGGCUUUAAAGGCACGGGGAGAAAAAGUUAAAAUUAAGCAGUUAUGUUAUUUUGAUUAUAUAAAAAAAGUUUGUUCCU